rnacentral:rRNA from 1 species
GACGGACGCUGGCGGCGUGCUUAACACAUGCAAGUCGAACGGAAAGGCCCUGCUUGCAGGGUGCUCGAGUGGCGAACGGGUGAGUAACACGUGGGUGAUCUGCCCCUUAUUUUGGGAUAAGCCUGGGAAACUGGGUCUAAUACUGGAUAGGACCAUGCUGUAGGUGGUGUGGUGGAAAGAUUAGUUUCGGUAAGGGAUGAGCUCGCGGCCUAUCAGCUUGUUGGUGGGGUAAUGGCCUACCAAGGCGUCGACGGGUAGCCGGCCUGAGAGGGUGGACGGCCACAUUGGGACUGAGAUACGGCCCAGACUCCUACGGGAGGCAGCAGUGGGGAAUAUUGCACAAUGGGCGCAAGCCUGAUGCAGCGACGCCGCGUGGGGGAUGACGGCCUUCGGGUUGUAAACUCCUUUCAGCCAUGACGAAGCCCUUGUGGUGACGGUAGUGGUAGAAGAAGCACCGGCUAACUACGUG